GACCCCCAGAAUCUAAGGAAAGGACUGGCCAGUGUGAGUGGUUGUGCAGUCAUUUUUAGAGCCCGGCAUUUCUGCAAAUAAGGCUAAUCGAGAAGCAAAGCUGCACCUUCAUCAAUCUGGUUCUCGGCCCUUCAUUUUUUGGGUUGAGGAACAUCGUGAUAAGAGUUUGCUUUUUUUGGAAGUCGAGGCUUGGGAGAUACGCAUGCUAAUUAUGGAAACAACAUUUAUACUUCUAUGUUGCAGAAGAAGGACGAGUAUAUCGCCCAACAAUAAUCGGACACGUCAAUGGAGGAUUUGACAUCUGAUCUAGAGGUAUCUCUACAGUUGUGGAUGGACGGGGUUGGCCGACUGAAAGCAAAGAACUUCCCAGCCUAAGAGUGCGUCGAAUUCAAGACCUCGGUGAUCUUCUUCAUCUAGCUGUUAGACUACAAGCGGGACGUCUUCCAGACUAUAGCAGUUGGAGAUGGAGCUAGCGGUCAUGCGCCAGCAAGACGAAGAAGUUAGAGAAGAUGCGCACCAGCGAGAUGAGGGCAUUCUGCUGUACAUUGUU
rnacentral:sRNA from 1 species